AUUUAAUUGGCAACUCCGCCUAUUGACAGGUGAGAUCAUUAGCAAGCUCCAUAAACAAGCUGUGUCAAUUGAAAUAACUAAUCACAGAAAAUAUGGACAGGGAGUUAGUCAGUGCUGAUAUAUCCAGCUUUCAGUUGGCAUCGCCAUCUGAACUUGACCGAGGUUUCUGUGUUAAUCAAAGUUCAUCUGUGUAUGAUCUAUCACUGGAGGGUUCAGUAUCCAUACCUUCCCAUGAAAUCGUUUGUGAAUACUCUGAGACCAAACCAUCAUUAUCUACCAUCCGUGAUCCAUUCAAUACUAUGUCACCCUCUCAGGCACCCAACAUGAACACAAUGUCGGUGGAGUUAACUCGAACCCCGAUAAGGACACCUGCACAGUCCUCUACUCCCUGUAUGUUCCUCCAAAAAACAAGUUCACCUGACAAAUUGUGUGUUGGCUCCACAGCUUCACAUGUAUCCUGGGAGUUUUCUUUUAUCAAAACGGACAUCAACAACCCCCAACUCACCUUGGGGUCUAGCACACUGGAAUCCACCUGGAGUCCCAAGUAUAUGUCUGGCUCUGCUUCCACCUCUCUUGCUGAACUUCCCUCCCUGAUAUGGUCUGGCACAUCACAGCACAUUAAUGGCACAGAUGAGUAUCAGAAGUCAUGGAGUGAGGACUCUGUGGGUUCCAGCCAGACAUCUUGUGGGUCUGCACCAGUAGCUGAGGAUGGCUGGCAGAAACAAACCUCCAGUCCUGCUUGUGUGGAUAAUAAAGACAAAACGGAUAUGUGACUGCAGGAAUAACUAAGACAUGGGACAAGCCAGAAGACCACCACUCUGAACUGUAUUUUAACAUUUAAAUAACUUGACAAAUAAAGUAUUUUUUUUUACUGUGAAAAUAAUGUCU